rnacentral:rRNA from 1 species
UAGGGAAUCUUCGGCAAUGGACGAAAGUCUGACCGAGCAACGCCGCGUGAGUGAAGAAGGUUUUCGGAUCGUAAAACUCUGUUGUUAGAGAAGAACAAGGACGUUAGUAACUGAACGUCCCCUGACGGUAUCUAACCAGAAAGCCACGGCUAACUCCGUGCCAGCAGCCGCGGUAAUACGUAGGUGGCAAGCGUUGUCCGGAUUUAUUGGGCGUAAAGCGAGCGCAGGCGGUUUCUUAUGUCUGAUGUGAAAGCCCCCGGCUCAACCGGGGAGGGUCAUUGGAAACUGGGAGACUUGAGUGCAGAAGAGGAGAGUGGAAUUCCAUGUGUAGCGGUGAAAUGCGUAGAUAUAUGGAGGAACACCAGUGGCGGAGGCGGCUCUCUGGUCUGUAACUGACGCUGAGGCUCGAAAGCGUGGGGAGCAAACAGG